rnacentral:lncRNA from 1 species
ACCCCCAUGGGCGCUCUACGCCCAUGUCGGGACCUCGACCCCUAGGCGUUCUACACCCAUGCCAGGCGUCGACCCCCAUGGGCGCUUUACACCCACGCCGGGACAUCGACCCCCUAGGUGCUUUGCGCCCAUGCCAGAUGUUGAACCCCGAGGAGCACUAUACCUAUGUCGGGACGUCAACCACCAUGGGUACUCUACAUCCUAGCUGGACCAUCAACCACCAUGAGGCUCAUUACCACUACGCGGUCAAUACAACACUUAGCCAAAAAUCAUAAUUUGGGUAGAGAUCAAUCGACGGUUGUUACGAACAUGACUAGCAGUUGAACGGGCGGAGGUUACCUACUAAGAACAUGGGGGCAGUGGAAGAGGUUACGUGGGACACAUGGCAAAAUAACCGCCUGGCGUUCACAUGACUCCAAUCACCUAUAAAUACUCCAAAAGGCGAAACAGGUAAGGAUCUUGGAAAAACUUUGGUUAUUUGAAUAUUUCCUUUUUCCUUUCCUAACUCUCCAUAAUUCGAU